rnacentral:lncRNA from 10 species
CCUCUCAGGCCUAGGGCUGGGACCCCUCCCCGCCCCCGGUCUUGGCCCUGCCCCCUUCAACAGACGGUCCGCCCCGGCCCCUCCCCCUCGUCCCGCCCGGCCCUGGCAGGCCCCGCCCCCUGCGGCCUCUACCUUUGACGUCUUCCCCCGGGAGGUGGCGGGGGUCUGCGACCGAAUGCCGGCGGGACUCUGGGUCAGGGCUUCUGGCGGGCCCUGCGGGGGGCAGCGAGGUGACCGUGAACCUGCGGCUCAUGGCGCGGAAAGGAGCCAGGCGGCCGCGGCAAGGUCCGGGAUCGCACAAGUGGCUGCAACCAGGCUCUAGGAGGGAGAAAGAGCGGAUCCCCCAACCCCCUCCGCCCGCCCGCCCCCCGCGAGACGCGGCGCCGCGCAGGGUCCUAGUGCCCGCUGUGCGAAGGGUUCCUGAAUCUGGCCACUUCGCUGGGAGGCCCUGGGCUCCCCAGUGCCACCCGAAGGGCCUGAGGAGGCCAUCUGCAGAAUCUCACUCUGUCGCCCAGGCCAGAGUACAGUGUCAUGAUCUUGGCUCACUGCAACCUCCACCUCCCAGUUCAAGAAAUUCUCCUACCUCAGCCUCCCAAGUAGCUGGGAUUACAAGGUACCCACGACCGUGCCCAGCUAAUUUUUGUAUUUUUAGUGGAGAGAGUUAUUCACCAUGUUGGCCAGGCUGGUUUUGAACUCCUGAUCUCAGAUGAUCCACCUGCCUUGGCCUUCCAAAGUGCUGGGAUUAUAGGCAUGAGCCACCAUGCCCAGCCUCUUGUUUCUUGACCUGGUGCUGGUUACACACUUGUGUUCCAUUUGUGAAAAUGUCUUCAAAUGUACACUUAUGAUAGAUACAUUUGUAUAUUUAUUAUAUUAUGGCAAUGGUUCUCAACUGGGAGCAAUGUUGACCACCAGGGAAUGUUUGGCAAUAUUCAGAGACAUUUUUGGUUAUCACAACUGGAGCAGGGGCUAGUACCAGCAUCUAGGGGCUAAAGGCCUCUUGGGCCCUCUAGGUUUGUACCAGGGCUGCCUGGCCAUGAGUCACAGUUCAACAUUACCCUGCUGCACCCCAUCCCCACACUGGGGCCUUCCUUAGCAGAGAGGGCUGACCCUGAAUGGGCCUGGCAUCUGGCCGUGGAUCCUGUCACCUCCUAGAGGAAGACACCAAACAUGCUAGAAGGUACAGUGUAGAUGUACAGUGUAAGACAAUCCCCCACAACAAAGUAUCCAGCCCAAAAUGUCAAUAGUGUAGAGGCUGAGAAACCCAGUACUAGAAAAGAAGUUUAAAUAACUGAUUCCUAGAUUUUAGGACUGAUUAGGUGUUCAGUUUGAUUGAGGGUGGAUGAUGCUGUCUCUUAUUAAAGUGGUAACAACAGAGGAGCACGUUUGGAAGGUGAAACCCAGGAGUCAGUUUGGACCCGUUAGGUUGAGAGGUCUGUUUGCCAGCUAAGGAGCCAUGUAGAGUAGGCAGUUGAACAUGAGUCUGGAGCUCGGGGCAGGGGAGAGGAGGUUAUGGUAGGAAACAUAAAUUUCACGGUCUUUAGCAGAGAGAUGCUAUUUAAGGCUGUGGGCUACCAGACAUCACAGGGAAUGAGUAUACACAGAGCAGAGGAUUCCCACGAUUGAGCACAAGGGUGCCUCUGUCACCAGAAGAGGAAAAUCCACCCAGUGAGGUAGGAGGAGACCCAGAAGUAAGGUUCCAGAGGCCGAGAGUUUCAGGAAGAAGGGCAGGAUCCACUGUGUCAAUGUGGGGAGAGUUGGUGUGGGAUGAGCAGAGAGGAGCUCCUGUCACAUCUGGCUACAAGAAGGUCAUAAAUGGCUUUGAAGAGGGUGACUUUGGUGGUGUAGUGGGGUGGGAGCCAGGCUGGAAAUGGCUGAGGAGAGAAUGGGAAUUGAGGAAGUGGAGACAGUGAGUAGAGACCAUGCUUUUGGGAAGUUUUAUUGUGAAUAGGGAUAGGAAGGUAGAGAAAUAGACUAGUAUCUAGUGGGAGGCAGGGGUUAAGACAGAUUGUAAACAAGCCAUGGCGGGGAAUGUUUGUACGCCAAGUGGGAGUGGGUCAUUUGAGCAAGAAACAGAUGAAAGAGGAAGCUCAGGAGGGCAGUUUUCUGGACUCCUACUUAAAUUCCCACGUGGGCCCUGAUCAAACCCAUCAUCUCCACUCACGGGCCCCAAUCUUUCAGUCAAGUCCCUUUGCUAACCUGUAAGGUCAAAUUCAUAUUCAGCUUGGCAUUCAGGACUUCUCUCAUCUAGCCCAAACUAGCACUGCUAUCUUAACCAUUCUGGAAUCCUCUCCAUUCCCUCUUAGCCACCUGCUACUACCCCAUGCUGGAGUUCUGAGCCAUUUGAAGUUCUCCAGACACCCACUGCUUUUUCUCUUCUUUUUCUCUUCGUGCACUUGCACCAAGAACCCACAUUCAAAUCCCACUCUUAUCACUCACUAGCUAUGAGACUUUGGGUGAGUUGUAUAACUCUCUGUGCCUUAGUUUCCUUAUCUGUAAAACAAGGGAUUGGUGAUGGCAGUAAUAAUAGUACAUACAAAGUAAUAGGAGUACCUAUCUCCUCUGGUUGUUUUGUCACACAAAAUGCACAUAGAACAGUGCCUGGCACAUAGUGCUGUACCGUGGAUAGCUACUAACGUCAGGUAUAUGAUCCAUAUUUUAUUUAUCCACUGACUUACUCCUGGGCAGCUAGGUUAUUGCCAGUUUUUCACUAACAAACAAUGCUGCAAUCAACAUCCUUCUAUGUGUUGUCUUGUGCACACAUGUGAGGGUCAGAAAGUAGUUACAUUUUUAGGUUUAGUGGUUCUUGGUAAAUUACCCUGUAAGAAGAUUGUCCCUUGCACAGGAAGAAGCUCGUUCAUCCUUUCUGAUUCAGUUCCGGUUCAGAUGUCAUCUUGACUGAGAAACGUUCCUGGACCUCAACCACAACACAGACACACACACAUGUGCACACACACACACCAUUAUUGUAGAAUAAAAGAUCAUGCACUGCACACUCCCCAAGUGUGAUCCCACCGCCACCAGCCAUAGAAUCACCCUUGUAAAUAGGUCAGACUCUCUGGAGGUGGAGCCUGGAGUUGCAUUUUAAGCAAGUUCCAAGGGGAAUCUUAUGCAUUCUAAAGUCUAACUCAUUUCUCUAUCCCCAUUGCCCAGUACAGGGCCUGGCUCCAUGUAGGGGCUCAAUAAAUGUUUGAUGAAUGAAUAAACAGGUUGAUCAUUUCCUUGACUGUAAAAUAGAAAUAAUCACAUCAUACUUUCCUAACAGGAAUGAUUGAAUAUGUUAACAUUUACAAAGUGCCUAGAACACUAUUUUUUUUUUUUUUGAGACGGAGUCUUGCUCAGUCACCCAGG